rnacentral:rRNA from 1 species
AAUGCCCUAUAGUAUCUUUUUAAGGCAUCUUAUUAAGAUUAAAGGUUACGGUAUGAGAUGAGUAUGCGUUCUAUUAGCUAGUAGGUGUGGUAACUGCACACCUAGGCUACGAUAGAUAGGGGCCCUGAGAGGGGGAUCCCCCACACUGGUACUGAGACACGGACCA